rnacentral:rRNA from 1 species
GCAAGUCAGGGGGAGGAUGCCUUCGGGUAUUAGUACACCGGCGCACGGGUGAGUAACACGUGAGUAACCUGCCUGCAUGACUGGAACAACUUGCCGAAAGGUGAGCUAAUGCCGGAUAAUGUAUAUGUAAGCAUUUAUGUAUAAGAAAAGUUGGGGUAACCUAACGCAUGUAGAUGGACUCGCGUCCCAUUAGCUAGUUGGUAAGGUAGAGGCUUACCAAGGCGACGAUGGGUAGCCGACCUGAGAGGGUGAUC